UGGACAACAAAUGCUCAGUAGAGUAUUGUAGUUUGGCCAGAAAGGAGCCCAUCAAAAGUAACAUUUUGCAAAUAAUUUUUUUGAAAAAUUUCAGUAUAUUUUGAAGAAAAUUAUUGAAUUUCUUGUUGGCAUCAUUCAAAAUGAAUAAUUUAAAAAUCGGUUCGAUAUGGGCUUUAAUCCUGUUCGCGAUUUUUGGCACCUAUUUCGCGCAGCAAGCCGAACCCCGCUGGCAAAAUGGGAUUGACUACACCUGCAACCCAAACGACCUUAGACGAUUUGGAUAUUUUGAUGGGUGCAAUUGGACGAACUGUUACUGCGAUCGGAGGGGAACUCGGACAUGCGAAAGGACUUUGAGAUCUUGUGCGCAACCAGAUUUCACGACUAGUGCUGGACUUCGGGGUUACGCGAGAAGAACGUGUUGCACCAGGUCGGCGAGAGGGGGGAAAUGAGAUUAAAUGCGAAACAAUUCACUGUGUAAAGUCAACUAAUAAUUUAGUGAGAAUUAAAAGCAACGAACAUUUAUAUUUACGUCGUUUUUCGAUAGAAUAUCUAGUUUAUGAGUUAUAACUUAUUUAAUACAGUUGAACAAGUAUAUACAAUUAUGGAAUAAAAUAUUAAGACUAAAAUUAUGAGAGCUUCAUAUUUUAUUUCUAAGUUCUUGGAAUUUGUGGAGGAAACAUAAUUUUAAAGUUUUAUGUGACUUAAUACUGAAAUGAAAUACAUACGUAGUUAAUCUUCAAUUUAAAAUGUUUUAUAUACGUCGCAGAAUUGAAAAAGGAGAAUAAGAAUUAUAUAUUUGUCUGGA